GAAUCUUUAGCUCAAAUGGUAGAGCACUUGGGAAUAUGAAUCUCAAGGGAUGAUGGUUCAAAUCCACCAAGAUCCU